rnacentral:rRNA from 1 species
AUUGAACGCUGGCGGCAUGCCUUACACAUGCAAGUCGAACGGUAACAGGUCUUCGGAUGCUGACGAGUGGCGAACGGGUGAGUAAUACAUCGGAACGUGCCCGAUCGUGGGGGAUAACGAAGCGAAAGCUUUGCUAAUACCGCAUAAGAUCUACGGAUGAAAGCAGGGGACCGCAAGGCCUUGCGCGAACGGAGCGGCCGAUGGCAGAUUAGGUAGUUGGUGGGAUAAAAGCUUACCAAGCCGACGAUCUGUAGCUGGUCUGAGAGGACGACCAGCCACACUGGGACUGAGACACGGCUCAGACUCCUACGGGAGGCAGCAGUGGGGAAUUUUGGACAAUGGGCGAAAGCCUGAUCCAGCCAGGCCGCGUGCAGGAUGAAGGCCUUCGGGUUGUAAACUGCUUUUGUACGGAACGAAAAGACUCUGGUUAAUACCUGGGGUCCAUGACGGUACCGUAAGAAUAAGCACCGGCUAACUACGUG